GUGGGGAAUCUUGCGCAAUGGGCGAAAGCCUGACGCAGCCAUGCCGCGUGAAUGAUGAAGGUCUUAGGAUUGUAAAAUUCUUUCACCGGGGACGAUAAUGACGGUACCCGGAGAAGAAGCCCCGGCUAACUUCGUGCCAGCAGCCGCGGUAAUACGAAGGGGGCUAGCGUUGCUCGGAAUUACUGGGCGUAAAGGGCGCGUAGGCGGACAGUUUAGUCAGAGGUGAAAGCCCAGGGCUCAACCUUGGAAUUGCCUUUGAUACUGGGUGUCUUGAGGAAGGGAGAGGUGAGUGGAACUCCGAGUGUAGAGGUGAAAUUCGUAGAUAUUCGGAAGAACACCAGUGGCGAAGGCGACUCACUGGCCCGUUACUGACGCUGAGGCGCGAAAGCGUGGGGAGCAAACAGGAUUAGAUACCCGAGUAGUCC
rnacentral:rRNA from 1 species